CGUUGUACUGGGAGCUAUACUAAGAGGACACGUGACUUCCUCCCAGUCAUUACAGACCUGUACAGAACGAAGUUGUGUCUUUGUGUCUGUAUAACUAAAACAUCUCCCUUCUCAGACCAAGAGCUACGUCUGGCACGGAGCUGCAGCAUCUUUUGAAGUACCGGAGAACACCCGCCAUCGCUCCACAUUACGCGCGUUGGCGUUUAAGGCGAGAUGAGACAAAGUCGCCUGAGGACGAGGAGGAGAGGCAGAUGAGGGACAAAAGUGCUACCCUUCACCUUUUGGUCUCGGUCCUGCUGUGAGUGGCGGAGAGGAGGACAUGUGAAGCUCCAACCAGCAGAAAGGCAGGACGUGGCAUGAAAACGUGGUUGUUGAGGACGACAAAUGAGGAGAAAUGUGCUGUAAAUGAGAUGGCCUGCGGUCCUCAGAGGGACAGUGGGGGGUCUUCAAUGAUCCAGCCAUGAAGCACCACUCGUACCAACCCACUCAUGCACACAUUCAUCUCAUCAGCCGCCAAGUAAGAGCCUUUUCUUCCACUGUGAAAAAUAACAACAUAAGCACCAUCGACACACACGCGCUUUCAUGAGUGUAACACAUAUCGUUAUGAUCUUUAUUUACUGAUGGGAAUGUUUGUCUAGUGGAAAUAUUAUCUGUAUGAGUUGGACUUUGUGUCGGAAGGGUUUUAAAAUAUUGAAACUUGUUGUUAAAAAAAAGGCUUGCCUGCUUUAAUGAGUUAGGGGCGUGGUCGGGGUGGAGGCGUGGUUGAGAGGAGAGCAGUAUAAUUUA